GCAUAGUGCCCUCUUGGUGUUAACGCUUAAUAGGGAAACCGGUGUAAAUCCGGUACGGUCUCGCCGCUGUAAUGUGGAGCCGCUUCAAUAUGUCACUGAAUUGUAUGAUUUGGGAAGGCGAAGUAGGCUGUGAAGCUAAGUCAGAAGACCUGCCUUGAGG
rnacentral:ncRNA from 1 species